rfam:Oryza glumipatula chromosome 7, whole genome shotgun sequence.
UUUAAAUACAGUUGUGGAUUUGCGUGUCCAAUAUUUAAUCGUCUAUGUUUGUUUAAUUUUUUUAUCAUUAGUAUUUUUAUUGUUAUUAGAUGAUAAAACAUGAAUAAUAUUUUAUAUGUAAUUUAUUUUUUUAAUUUUUUUUAUAUUUUUUAAAUAAGACGAACGGUCAAAUAUUGGAUACGGAAAUUCAUAACUGCACUUAAA